AGCGAACGCUGGCGGCAGGCUUAACACAUGCAAGUCGAACGAACCCUUCGGGGUUAGUGGCGGACGGGUGAGUAACACGUGGGAACGUGCCUUUUGGUUCGGAACAACACAGGGAAACUUGUGCUAAUACCGGAUGUGCCCUUCGGGGGAAGAUUUAUCGCCAUUAGAGCGGCCCGCGUCUGAUUAGCUUGUUGGUGAGGUAAAGGCUCACCAAGGCUACGAUCAGUAGCUGGUCUGAGAGGANGAUCAGCCACACUGGGACUGAGACACGGCCAGACUCCUACGGGAGGCAGCAGUGGGGAAUCUUGCGCAAUAGGGGGAAACCCGUGACGCAGCCAUGCCGCGUGAAUGAUGAAGGUCUUAGGA
rnacentral:rRNA from 1 species